AUGAACGCUGGCAGUGUGCCUUAGACAUGCAAGUCGAACGGGGAGCCUAGUUAGCUUGCUAACACGGCUUCUAGUGGCGAACGAGUGAGUAACACGUGAGUGACCUACCCCGAAGUGGGGCAUAACAGAGGGAAACUUCUGCUAAUUCCCCAUGGUCUCAUAGCUCUGGUGUCUAUGAGUAAAGAUUUAUCGCUUCGGGAUGGGCUCGCGGCCCAUCAGCUAGUUGGUAGGGUAAUGGCCUACCAAGGCGACGACGGGUAGCCG
rnacentral:rRNA from 1 species